rnacentral:sRNA from 1 species
CUGAGGACCCUCCAGCUCUAUAGCAAAACAACUUCGAACACCGCCAUGUUCUCCAGUACACGAUGAAACAUUCAGCCUACGAACGUUUUUGCCCACUCAAAGCUCUUCCAGACGACCCUCCGCUUUCACCAGUGUGGCCUUUUUCAGCGCCUCUUUUGGAGGCCACUUGGCGUUAAAGACCGAAUUGAGUUCCUCGAGUGUUCGACCACGAGUUUCGACACCCAAGAUGAACCAGACGGCCGCUUCAAAGGCAUGUCAGCUUUUUUUGAGCUCAUGGCAAGGAACGACGGUAAUUAGAACUUACCAUAUACUAAGUUGAGCGCCACGAAAACUAAGUAAUACUUCCAUCCAAUAGCAUCAAGAGCGAUAGCUGUGACAAAAGUGUUGUACAGGUUGGCACAAUUGCUCAUGAUCACAUGCUGUCGCAGGAACUUCAUUAGCAUUGUUCGUCAAACGAUCUAUCGUAUUGGGACUUACCACUCCCAUUCCCUUUGCUCUGGUAUGGUUCGCCAACACCUCUGCGCAGUAUGUGGCUGUCAGAGGAGUAUACACGAAACUAUAGAUACAUCCAAACAAAAAGAUAAAGGCCACACCGGCAUUGCUCAUGGUCGCAUUCACAUCAUCGGGAUUGCCAUCAAACUGGCUCGAAAAACCUGUCACAGCGGCAAACAAGCAAGCAAGUACGAUGGAUCCCACCCAAAGCUUGGUACGGCGGCCAAUCAUGUCGUUGGUUGCCGAGCCACAAACGGCGCCAGUACAAGAAACGAUUGAGUUGGCGAAUGUGAGAAGGAGACGGCGGUCGGUGGAUGUGAUGCCGAGUUUGGCGUACAUUGCGGGGAGAUAGU